rnacentral:rRNA from 1 species
UGGGGAAUCUUCCGCAAUGGACGAAAGUCUGACGGAGCAACGCCGCGUGAGUGAAGAAGGUUUUCGGAUCGUAAAACUCUGUCUUUUGGGGCGAACGUGAGUAUGGUGAACAAUCAUAGUCAGUGACGGUACCAAAGGAGGAAGCCACGGCUAACUACGUGCCAGCAGCCGCGGUAAUACGUAGGUGGCAAGCGUUGUCCGGAAUUAUUGGGCGUAAAGAGCGCGUAGGCGGGAUAGUCAGUCUGUUGUAAAGUGCGGGGCUCAACCCCGUGAUGGCAAUGGAAACAGCUAUUCUUGAGUGCAGGAGAGGAAAGUGGAAUUCCCAGUGUAGCGGUGAAAUGCGUAGAUAUUGGGAGGAACACCAGUGGCGAAGGCGACUUUCUGGACUGUGUCUGACGCUGAGGCGCGAAAGCCAGGGGAGCGAACGGGAUUAGAUACCCCGGUAGUCCUGGCCGUAAACGAUGGGUACUAGGUGUGGGAGGUAUCGACCCCUUCCGUGCCGGAGUUAACGCAAUAAGUACCCCGCCUGGGGAGUACGGUCGCAAGACUGAAACUUAAGGAAUUGACGGGGUCAUAGCUGUUUCCUG